rnacentral:tRNA from 1 species
GCCGGUUUAGCUCAGACGGUAGAGCGCCUGCCCUGUAAGCAGGAUGUCGUCGAUUCGAUUUCGGCAACCGGCU